UAUUGACAUUAGUCAUAAUGCCGGACCAAUGUGGACACGGAACGCUAUGAAAAGCACAUGUGAUGUUGUGUCAGCUGUCAGUCUGUUAACAAGUGAUGUCACCAGGUCAACUGUCAGUGUUAGCAAGUGAUGUCACCAAGUCAACUGUCAGUGUUAACAAGUGAUGUCACCAGGUCAACUGUCAGUGUUAACAAGUGAUGUCACCAGUCCAACUGUCAGUGUUAACAAGUGAUGUCAUCAGGUUAACUGUCAGUGUUAACAAGCGAUGUCAGCUGUCAGACUGACAGCUAUCAACAAUCAGUGUUAACAAGUGAUGUCAGCUGUCAGACUGAUAGCAGUCAGCAAUCAGUGUUAACAAGUGAUGUCACCAGUUCAACUGUCAGUGUUAACAUGUGAUGUUACCAGGUCAACUGUCAGUGUUAACAAGUGAUGUCACCAGGUCAUUUGUCAGUAUUAACAAGUGAUGUCACCAGUUCAACUGUCAGUGUUAACAAGUGAUGUUACCAGGUCAACUGUCAGUGUUAACAAGUGAUGUCACCAGGUCAUUUGUCAGUAUUAACAAGUGAUGUCACCAGGUCAGCUGCCAGCGUUAACAAUUGAUGUCACCAGGUUUAACUAUCAGAAAUCGUGUGUAUAAGUGAUGCUACUGUCAAGACAGUGACUGUCAGUGUAAACAAGUGCUGUUAAAGUCAACUGUCAGGUAAACGUGUUAACAAAUGAUGUCAACUGUCAGUCGUGUUAACAAGUGAUGUCAAGUGUCAGACAUGUAUCGUUGUUAACAAGUGAUGUCACUUGUCAGUAUCGUGUUAACAAGUGAUGUCAAGUGUCAGACAGGUAGCUAGUUAACAAGUGAUGUCAGAUGUCAGUAUCGUGUUAACAAGUUAUGUCAAGUGUAAGACAGGUAUCGUGUUAACAAGUGAUGUCAAGUGUCAGUGUUAACAAGUGAUAUCAACUGUCAGGUAUCGUGUUAACAAGUGAUGUCAACUGUCAGACAGGUAUCGUGUUAACAAGUGAUGUCAACUGUCAGACAGGUAUCGUGUUAACAAGUGAUAUCAACUGUCAGACAGGUAUCGUGUUAACAAGUGAUGUCAACUGUCAGACAGGUAUCGUGUUAACAAGUGACGUCGUGUCACACAGAUAUCGUGUUUUAACAAGUGAUGUCAAGUGUCAGUGUUAACAAGUGAUAUCAACUGUCAGGUAUCGUGUUAACAAGUGAUGUCAAGUGUCAAACAGUAUUAACAAGUGAUGUCAUUCAUCAAGACAUCGGUACUGAAC